GAAAGCAGGGGAUCGUAAGACCUUGCGCUUUUGGAGUGGCCGAUGCCUGAUUAGCUAGUUGGUGGGGUAAGAGCCUACCAAGGCGACGAUCAGUAGUUGGUCUGAGAGGACGACCAGCCACACUGGGACUGAGACACGGCCCAGACUCCUACGGGAGGCAGCAGUGGGGAAUUUUGGACAAUGGGCGAAAGCCUGAUCCAGCAAUGCCGCGUGAGUGAAGAAGGCCUUCGGGUUGUAAAGCUCUUUCAGUCGAGAAGAAAAGGUUGUGACUAAUAAUCACAACUUAUGACGGUACCGACAGAAGAAGCACCGGCUAACUACGUGCCAGCAGCCGCGGUAAUACGUAGGGUGCGAGCGUUAAUCGGAAUUACUGGGCGUAAAGGGUGCGCAGGCGGCUUUGUAAGUCAG
rnacentral:rRNA from 1 species